AUGCCCCGGAGGAGCCUGGACACUUCGUCGAACGGGCGAAGUGCCUUGACGAACCCGUGGUCGCUCCGGAUGAUGCUACGGAAGCUGCGCGGGCCGAACACGUACGGCCGGCGGCUAUCCCCGUGCUCCUCAUCACGCUCUCCCUCGCCGCGCCGGCCACGGCCUUGGCCCUGCUCCUCCUGCUCGCGCCUCCCGUGCUCCUCACGCUCUUCCUGGCCGUGCCGGCCACGGCCGCGGCCCUGCUCCUCCUCUCGCUCUCCCUGGCCGUGCCGGCCAUGGCCACGGCCCUGCUCCUCCUCACGCUCUCCCUGGCCGUGCCGGCCACGCCCACGGCCCUGCUCCUCCUCACGCCCCCCCUCGCCGUGCCGGCCAUGGCCGCGGCCCUGCUCCUCCUGCUCGUGCCUUCCGUGCUGCUGCUGGUCGUCCCGGCACUCCUGCACGCACCGGGCAUGCGAGUACCGCGGCCGGUCCUGCUGGCACCGCUGCACGCACUGCUGCAGCGAGUGCCCACCGCGCCUGUCGUCCUCCUCGUCAUGGGAGGCCGAAACAGCCGCGGCGAAGAGAAGGCUGGUUCCCAGGAGGAAGAGGAGAGGGAUGGUUACUCUGGCUCUGGUCGCCAUUGUUGAACUAGCUAGCUCUGUGUGUGUGACUGCCGGGAUGUGGAGAUUGUGGCACCGUAUUUGUAGCGCGCGCGCCGCUGUACGUGGCGCCGUGGGGCGGCUACGUGGAGGCGAGCUGCGUGCCAGCGGGGAGGCGGGUCGCCACGUCGCGCGGCCGUGCUUAUCGGGCCAUCGGCGAGGUGCGGGCCAGCUUGGGCGUCGCUUGUCGUGGCGUGCUCUUGCUCGCGGCGGGCGGCGCCGAGCGACGGAGCUGCUUGAGUGGAUUGCGCUGCUAGGUACCGAGCACCUUAGACGCUCGACGGACUGCAUGCCCGAGCAGAGCACAACAUCCCAUGACUAG
rnacentral:rRNA from 1 species